UCAUCUCUCUGGAGCUGCCUCCAGCUCUGAAAUGCCGUGAUGACGUGGUGACAGUGAAACCAGGGGAGGGGGUGAGAUCGCUGACGAAGACACGUGAAAGGACUGGCAAUGGAGUCUCAGGAAAGCUUGGCAUUUACGGAGAAGCAGGGGAACCGACGGAGACCAAACAGGGAAGCGGUAAUGGCUGUAAAGUAUGCUCUCCACCAGCUGGUCAGGAAGACUGACAAGGACAAAGAAGUCCCUUCAGACCGUGUUUUCCUCAAACAUCGUAAUGUUGGAUCAUCAUCUACUCAUGUACAAGGGCUUCAUUCUCCAGAAGCUGUCAUUUUACAUAAACCUCUCACCAGGCACAUCCAUUCUCACGGCCAAAAUCUCCAUAUCAAACACUGCUUCCACCAUGGAACUGACAGCCCUCCCUACCCUGCAUGGGGCCUCAGAGAGGCUGACAGGACAGACACCCCGUGCAGGGGCGACGCAGGACAGACUGAGUGGGUGACCCGGGAAUGCCGCCAGUCCGUCCUUACCACCUUCCUCAGGCCUCCUGGGGGGAUCCUUGCUCCUUCCUGACGUCUCUGAUGGGUGUGCGUGGCCCGCAUGCCCUCAGUGGGGGGCACACAGGAGCCUGGGAGUGGAGGGGAAGACCUGUGUCCCUCCAAAAAAAAUACGUUGACAUCCUAACCAGCAGUACCUCAGAAUGUAAUCUUAUUUGAAAAUAGAGUCUUUGCAGGGUAAUUAGGUUAAAAUCAGGUCAUUAGGGUGGGCCUGAUCCGAUAGGACUGGCAUUCUUACAAAAAGGGGUAGCUGGGAGACAACACGCUCAGAGGGAAGACCCGCCGUGUGCCCGGAGGCAUGCGUCUGCCCAAGAAGGGCCACCAAGGACAGUUAGCAACCAUGUGAAACCAGGACGGAGGCCUGGGACAGGAUAGACCCUCGGAAGGAGCCAGCCUCGCCUGCGCCCUCCUCACCCCCAGACUGUGAAGGAUCAAUUUCGGCUGCCUUAAGGGUGUGGUCCUCUGAUAGGGUCACCCCAGGACACUCACGUGGCCAGCUUGGAGGCAUGGCCAAGUUUGGAACUGAGCUUCCAGGCCAGCAGCCCUGGCAGGCUGUUCACUUCUCAGGAAACAAACAGCGAUGCUGAGGGGUCAGGUGGGUGUGGCUUCCUAGACCAAAUAGUAAUCCAGCUUGCAGAUUCCUUUCUAAAAGAGGGAUUGUCAGUCAACCCACCAACUAUUGUUCGCUUUCCUGGCCGGGGGAGGCCCUGGGCUGGAGACCUGGAGUGGCUGAAGAAGGACACCAAGCUGCUCUCGGGAAGUCCUCAGUCCAGGCAACGAGAGGGGGCCCAGGAGGCCUUCUUACAGCGAGAGUUCCCUGCAGGAGUAAAAGACCAGUUGCCAAGUUCAAGAGAGCAC